ensembl:snoRNA Gm24731 small nucleolar RNA SNORA17
CCUGCCCCUAGAGGCUUUGUGGGUUUGCCUGCUGUGUCACCUGUGCAUCAGUAGGUGGCAAAGACAAGAGAUAUCAUGUCUAUGCUCAGUGUUCUGACUUGUGAACAUGGAAUGAUUAGUAGCCCAACACU